rnacentral:rRNA from 1 species
CCUGGCUCAGGACGAACGCUGGCGGCGCGCCUAACACAUGCAAGUCGAACGAGCGAGAGAGAGCUUGCUUUCUCGAGCGAGUGGCGAACGGGUGAGUAACGCGUGAGGAACCUGCCUCAAAGAGGGGGACAACAGUUGGAAACGACUGCUAAUACCGCAUAAGCCCACGGCUCGGCAUCGAGCAGAGGGAAAAGGAGCAAUCCGCUUUGAGAUGGCCUCGCGUCCGAUUAGCUAGUUGGUGAGGUAAUGGCCCACCAAGGCGACGAUCGGUAGCCGGACUGAGAGGUUGAACGGCCACAUUGGGACUGAGACACGGCCCAGACUCCUACGGGAGGCAGCAGUGGGGAAUAUUGCACAAUGGGGGAAACCCUGAUGCAGCGACGCCGCGUGGAGGAAGAAGGUCUUCGGAUUGUAAACUCCUGUUGUUGAGGAAGAUAAUGACGGUACUCAACAAGGAAGUGACGGCUAACUACGUGCCAGCAGCCGCGGUAAAACGUAGGUCACAAGCGUUGUCCGGAAUUACUGGGUGUAAAGGGAGCGCAGGCGGGAAGACAAGUUGGAAGUGAAAUCCAUGGGCUCAACCCAUGAACUGCUUUCAAAACUGUUUUUCUUGAGUAGUGCAGAGGUAGGCGGAAUUCCCGGUGUAGCGGUGGAAUGCGUAGAUAUCGGGAGGAACACCAGUGGCGAAGGCGGCCUACUGGGCACCAACUGACGCUGAGGCUCGAAAGUGUGGGUAGCAAACAGGAUUAGAUACCCUGGUAGUCCACACUGUAAACGAUGAUUACUAGGUGUUGGAGGAUUGACCCCUUCAGUGCCGCAGUUAACACAAUAAGUAAUCCACCUGGGGAGUACGACCGCAAGGUUGAAACUCAAAGGAAUUGACGGGGGCCCGCACAAGCAGUGGAGUAUGUGGUUUAAUUCGACGCAACGCGAAGAACCUUACCAAGUCUUGACAUCCUGCGACGGUGCUGGAAACAGUACUUUCCUUCGGGACGCAGAGACAGGUGGUGCAUGGUUGUCGUCAGCUCGUGUCGUGAGAUGUUGGGUUAAGUCCCGCAACGAGCGCAACCCUUAUGGUCAGUUACUACGCAAGAGGACUCUGGCCAGACUGCCGUUGACAAAACGGAGGAAGGUGGGGAUGACGUCAAAUCAUCAUGCCCUUUAUGACUUGGGCUACACACGUACUACAAUGGCGUUAAACAAAGAGAAGCAAGACCGCGAGGUGGAGCAAAACUCAGAAACAACGUCCCAGUUCGGACUGCAGGCUGCAACUCGCCUGCACGAAGUCGGAAUUGCUAGUAAUCGCAGAUCAGCAUGCUGCGGUGAAUACGUUCCCGGGCCUUGUACACACCGCCC